GAUGAACGCUGGCGGCGUGCCUAAUACAUGCAAGUCGAGCGAACAGAUGAGGAUCUUGCUCCUCUGACGUUAGCGGCGGACGGGUGUGUAACACGUGGAUAACCUACCUAUAAUUCUGGUAUAACUUCGGGAAACCGGAGCUAAUACCGGAUAAUAUCUUGAUCCGCAUGGUUCAAUAGUGAAAUUCGGUUUUGCUGUCUCUUAUCGCUGGUUCCGGGCCGCAUUAGCUAGUUGGUAAGGUAACGGCUUACCAAGGCAACGAUGCGUAGCCGACCUGAGAGGGGGAUCGGCCACACUGGAACUGAGACACGGUCCAGACGACUAAGGGAGGGAGCAGUAGGGAAUCGGACGCAAUGGGCGAAAGCAUGACGGAGCAAGGCCGCGUGAGAGAUGAAGGUGUUCGGAGCGUAAAACUCUGUUAUUAGGGAAGAACAAAUGUGUAAGGAACUAAGCACGUAGUGACGGUAACGAAUAAGAAAGCAACGGCUAACUACGUG
rnacentral:rRNA from 1 species